GGGUCAGUAGGUUGGUCGUGCCACCGGUACGUACUGGUCUCACUGAUUCCUCCUUCCUGAAGAACUGUAAUGCCAUUAAUUUGGUGUUGCGGGGAAACAGGACUGUUACUUUGAAAAAAUUAGAGUGUUUAAAGCAAGCUAACGCUUGAAUACAUUAGCAUGGAAUAAUGAAAUAGGACGAUCGAUCCUAUUUUGUUGGUCUCUAGGAUUGACGUA
rnacentral:rRNA from 1 species